CACUCUUAAAAAAAAAUCUUCUAUAUUCACCCUCGCUUCACCUUCUCCGCUUCUGACAUCAGUACUGCUCCUCAAUACAGACCAUUCUCUUAAAUUUCUCUGCUUUGGUUCGAGUUAGUCUUCGGUGGUGUUGUAUCAGUGAGUUACAGUAACUUAUUUUCUUUCUUUUUCUUGGUAGUUAUAUUUUCGUUCUUUGUUGAAGACUCAGAUAUGGAAGCUUCCACUUGCUUCUCUCUGCAAUAAUACCUAUGAUUUCCAUUUUUGCUGUGUAAAAAAAAAAAAAAAAAAAAAACUCAACAGCCCUUUGGCAGUUAUAAACAGUACCAGAGCAAAGUGAGAAUCAUAUAGUAAUAGUAAUAAUUUUAGCGAAAAUUUUGAGGCUGUGAUGAUGAUUUUUUGUUCUUAGUUUGUCUGAGCAAAAUUGAUUAGGGUAUUGGGAUGCCCCGACCCGUAUCGUGGCGGGCCGACCCGGAAACCGGUGUUUGCAGCCAUGGCGGUGAUUUUAGUCUCUCUUUGCAGGACCGUAAGUAUAUUACAGAUCUGAGCCUCAAUGCUUGAUUUUUCUUAAAAAGGGAAAAUUACACUCUAUGUCUACUGAAAAAAAAAAUCCUUUUAUACACUUCUAUACAAGUUUGAUACACUAUGUAUAGUAGUGUAUACUAAAAAUAUGGCUACGCGGGGUUAUAAAUUUUUUAUGUUGGGCUGUAUAUUUGUCAUUGAUGGCGCAAUGGUAACGGGGAUGCAAUACCAGUAAAAUCUUAGAGAAAAUUCUAUAGACAUGGAAGGGUAUGAAAAUUAAUGAGAAAUUUAUUGGUAAUUCAUGAUAUGCCUGAGACAACUCAAUAAUUGUUUAUUGUAUCUCUUUUUUCGUUUUUCUUUUUUCACAGGUGUUCUUCAAGAUUCUCAUCUAUAAGAUACAUUAUUUACUUUGCUUUACUACUUUAGUAGGAAUCCUGAUUCCUAAAGCAUAAUAAGUGAACGUAAAUCAAAUGAUGUGACACUUAUUCUUUGGAUUUGGAUAGUUUUGUGUAUUAAAUCGAAUUAAACUGGAAGUCAAUAAAAGUGUACUAUCAUUUGAAGGGUGUUGAGAAUUAUUUCAAUAGUUAAUGUAAAUUUGAUUUGAUGAAAGUUUAAGCUGUUUGGGAUUUACUAGAAGUCCAUUAGUAUAUUUUGGGCUAUUAAGGCUUCGACUCUGCCUAUUAUUAUUCUGCUGCACAUCAAAGCUUAGUAACAAGUGAAGAGAGUAGGAAUUGAGCUUUUGUAAAUAGCAAAUUUUAUCAAUAUUCCAUUAGCGAUACUGUUUGGGCCAUUCUUGAUUGUUGUUUGGUUCUUGGGUUUAUGUUGCUUUGAUAUUAAUGUGGACCUUUGCAAAAUUUUGGACAGUUGGUGAGCUACUUUCGCCUAAUUUGCUGCUGUGUAUCGACCCUUUUGGGAGUCAAAAAGCUUGCUGAUUUUUAGUACUAUAAUUGCUGUUGUUGUUGAAUUUGUGCUAAAGUUGAACUCUUUAUUACGCUUGGUGCGUAGAAUUCAGUCCAUGUAGUUGCUGCUUUUCACAGAUUAAGUUGUGCCAGUGGCAAGGCUGACUGUUAUGCUAUUACCUUAUUGACUCUAAUUUACAUUUCUCUUCAUCGUUUUGACAAUUUCGCAGAAUAUAAGAUAUAUGAAGCCUACUGUUUGUAUUAAUUACAUCAGUAUAUGAACUGAUAAAAAAUGAUGACAAGAUGAGUUUAGUUUUUCUAGCCAAUAAUUAUGUUGUGGCAAUGGUAUGGCUGACUCUUAUGGUUUUGCCUUAUUUGGCUCUAAUGUAGAUAUCUUUUAACCAUUCUGAGAAUUUUGUAGAUGAGGUAUAUUUAGCCAAUUCUUUGUAGUUCGCUCCAUUUACAGAACCUGCAAAUCGGUUUAGUAAAGGCGUCUGGACAUACAUUAUAUGCAAAUACCGAAAUACUGUUUGUAAAUCAAUGUGUGUGUUACGAGUUUAUCCACUAUUUCAACGAGCCUGAACUAAAAAAUUAUAGCUUUGUGGUCAUUUCAGGAGCUAAAUAGUGACGAGUCACAUUCAAAGGUGAUAAAAGUUCCCAAUAACAGUCCCAAAUAGUUGGCCCAGGGUAAAUUGGUGCUUAUGAAUGAGGUAAAAUUAAAGAGGUAGUGCCUCAUAGAUCCCUGUUUAUCAUGGUAUUUCUAGAACAAAUGAAAAUGAACUAUUUUACAUAUUACUUUCUCCAACAAUUUUGAGUCAACUUUCCUGAGUUAGAGUUAAUAUUCAAGUCAACAUGGUCCCUGUAUGAGACUAAAUUGUGUACUUGAAGGAAACUAUAAUGCUUUGGCAGCAUUAUGCCAAAUGGAGGAAAAAUAGUUGCUGAGAAUUUAGGAGGUGAGUGUUUCUAGGUACACCUGCUUUAUCUCCAAUUAUUUUCCCUCACUGCUGUUGGCCUCAAUAAUACUGAAAGAUUGAGAGACUGUUAAAAUGUUGAUAUAUGACCAUGAUGUAGAGUCCACUUCUUAGAAGGAUCUUUGGAAAAAUACUUAAAAUUCCUUAUUCUAGCAACAGGUCAUUUACCUUUUUGUUGUUCCAAAAAAAGGUCUUGCAAGGAGAACAAAACAAUCCAAAGAAAUUGUAAGUUAGCUUAUGUUUCUUGGCAGUAGUUGCUGCUUUGUUUACUUUGGACAUUGAAAUUUAUGAAGUCUGUGGUUCAGUUUUAUUUUGUAAAGGAGGUGGAAUUAGUAUUGACAAGUAAUUUUCAUUCCCACUUACUCUUCUUGGCAUCCCUGCUUGCUCGGAGUUGACAGUCUGUUGUCUUUUGAAAUAUAUUGUACCCUUGUGACUGUCGAUUUAAGCUAUAACUAGAAAAAGAUUUCUUAGGUCAUUUUGUAAUUAGCAACCUUACUAUCACCCAUAGAGACUUUAUCGUUUUGCUCUGCUACUUUCAGUUUUCCUCUGGAAUUGCUGAUGAGAUGUGCCGCCUUUACCCUCUAUCCAUUUAGUAUAGUUCAUUUUCUAUGUAGCAGCAGCACGGCUAGGUCUUCCUUCAAGGAAAGGAGGGGGUCCAGACGUCACUCACUUUAGCAGAAUAUGCAAUACCAACCUACAUGAUAAGACCAUUGAAUAACAAGCGCUAUUGAGCAACUAUAGAGUUCAACAAAAUGCAGAUGUCCCCUUUGGCACACACAUAUUGUAGAGAAGAACCAUAUUAAAUCCAUACCAUGUUGUAUCAUAAACACUUUUGAUUACGGUCACUCGAUCUCUUACAAUAGAGGAAGUUCAACUCUUAGGAUUGCUAACGAUUUUCAUCACCUGGACGAGAUUUCAAAUUGGAAGGAAGACUUAAUCAGAUGAAUGAAAACGUCACCCUGUUGACUUUGGAAGACAUAUUUAGUUUCUAGAUUUUUAAUCUCUGCAGUUACAUAGGUGAUUGUACUAACUGUCCAGGUUAAAGCUCAGCGAAGUUAUUAUGCUACUCAAAGCCUAUUCACUGUACAUAGGCCAAUAUUAGCUUUCAUUUUCAUAGUUAUUUAUGCUACUCAAAGCCUAUUCACUGUACAUAGGCCAAUAUUAGCUUUCAUUUUCAUAGUUUAAAACUCUUGCAGCUUUGGUUUUA